AUGCUUGAUCUCAAUGAGUUGCCUCCAGAUCUCAAUGAGCUUCCUCGUGAUAUGGAUCAGCAGCAACCCAGCAUACAACAAGGAAAUUGGACAGAAAAUGGUCGAUCUGUUUACUACACGCAGGCAAGUCGUGAUGGUAACCCUACGGGCCAUGACAAUGUGGCAGGCCAGUCAUCAGCCCACGGUGCCCAUGUAGUGGUGGCUUUGCAGUCAGAGAGCCAUACUCUUGAUGACACGGGAACCAAGGCAAAUGUUCCUGGUCCAACCAGGACUGAGCUAGAAGUUGGGGCUGUUGACAGAGCUGUGCAAGUAGAAGAAGGAGAGGAUGAGGCUGGUUCUCAACCUAUGGAACCCUAUGUUGGCAUGAGGUUUGACAGCCUUCAAAUUGCUAAGGAUCACUACAAUAGCUACGCACUAUGGAUGGGCUUCUCUAUCAAGAUGAACACCUCUAGACGGACAGCCCGCACCAAUGAAUUGAUAAAACAACAGUUUUGCUGCAACAAGUUCAAGAAGUCCAAAGCUGAUGAUGGAGGAGCUGAGGCUCCUCCUGUCCUGGACCCUAUUCCAGAUCCAAAAUCUGUUAACAAUGAUGAGGAGAUGGAAAGAACCUCCAAUAUUUGCUGA
rnacentral:rRNA from 1 species